AUACGGAGGGGGCUAGCGUUGUUCGGAAUUACUGGGCGUAAAGCGUACGUAGGCGGAUUGAUCAGUUGGGGGUGAAAUCCCGGGGCUUAACCCCGGAACUGCCUUCAAUACUGUCAGUCUUGAGUCCGGAAGAGGUGAGUGGAAUUCCUGGUGUAGAGGUGAAAUUCAUAGAUAUCAGGAGGAACACCAGUGGCGAAGGCGGCUCACUGGUCCGGUACUGACGCUGAGGUACGAAAGCGUGGGGAGCAAACAGGAUUAGAAACCCUAGUAGUCC
rnacentral:rRNA from 1 species